UUAAUAUUUUUUUCUUUUUUUAAUUGUACUUUUUUUUUUUACGUUUUUCUACUGUUUAUAAUUACUGGCACAAUUCGACUACAUAUUUUAUCAGUUAUUGAUAUUUUUUUCUUUUUUUAAUUGUUCUUUUUUUUACGUUUUUCUACUGUUCACAAUUACUGGCAUAAUUCAACUACAUUGUUUUUCAUUAAUUGAUUUUUUCCUUUUUAUUAAGUUUUUCUACUGUUACCUUUGAAAUAUAUGUAUAUUUUUUUUCUGUUAUAGUUGUUGUUAAAUACA